rnacentral:miRNA from 1 species
GACGAGUAUGAAUGUGGUGCACG